AGAGUUUGAUCCUGGCUCAGGACGAACGCUGGCGGCGUGCCUAAAACAUGCAAGUCGAACGAGGGGGCGACCCCUAGUGGCGAACGGCGGAGUAAGACGUGAGCAACGUGCCCCAAAGUCCGGGACAAACGCAGAAAUGCCAUAAAUACCGGAUGUGGCCCGAGGUCGGCAUCGACUUCGGAUUAAACGGUUUUUCGCUUUGGGAGCGGCUCACGGCCCAUCAGGUAGUUGGGGGGGUAACGGCCCACCAAGCCGACGACGGGUAGCGGGUCUGAGGGGAUGAUCCGCCCGAGUGGGACUGAGACACGGCCCACACACCUACGGGUGGCAGCAGUUGGGAAUCUUGCACAAUGGGGGAAACCCUGAUGCAGCGACGCCGCGUGGAGGAUGAAGGGUCUAGGCCUGUAAACUCCUUUUACCGGGAAAGACUUAGGACGGUACCCGGGGAAUAAGGACCGGCUAACUACGUGCCAGCAGCCGCGGUAAGACGUAGGGUCCAAGCGUUGUCCGGAUUUACUGGGCGUAAAGAGCGCGUAGGCGGUCCGUUAAGUGUAGAGUGAAAGCUCCGGGCUCAACUCGGAAAUUGCUCUGCAUACUGGCGGACUCGAGGACGGAAGAGGUUUGUGGAAUUCCUGGUGUAGCGGUGAAAUGCGUAGAUAUCAGGAGGAACCCCAUGGCGAAGGCAGCAAACUGGUCCGUAUCUGACGCUGAGGCGCGAAAGCGUGGGUAGCAAACAGGAUUAGAUACCCUAGUAGUCC
rnacentral:rRNA from 1 species